rnacentral:rRNA from 1 species
AGUGAAGAAGGGUUUCGGCUCGUAAAGCUCUGUUGGUAGUGAAGAAAGAUAGAGGUAGUAACUGGCCUUUAUUUGACGGUAAUUACUUAGAAAGUCACGGCUAACUACGUGCCAGCAGCCGCGGUAAUACGUAGGUGGCAAGCGUUGUCCGGAUUUAUUGGGCGUAAAGCAAGUGCAGGCGGUUCAAUAAGUCUGAUGUGAAAGCCUUCGGCUCAACCGGAGAAUUGCAUCAGAAACUGUUGAACUUGAGUGCAGAAGAGGAGAGUGGAACUCCAUGUGUAGCGGUGGAAUGCGUAGAUAUAUGGAAGAACACCAGUGGCGAAGGCGGCUCUCUGGUCUGCAACUGACGCUGAGGCUCGAAAGCAUGGGUAGCGAACAGGAUUAGAUACCCUGGUAGUCCAUGCCGUAAACGAUGAGUGCUAAGUGUUGGGAGGUUUCCGCCUCUCAGUGCUGCAGCUAACGCAUUAAGCACUCCGCCUGGGGAGUACGACCGCAAGGUUGAAACUCAAAGGAAUUGACGGGGGCCCGCACAAGCGGUGGAGCAUGUGGUUUAAUUCGAAGCAACGCGAAGAACCUUACCGGGUCUUGACAUCC